rnacentral:sRNA from 1 species
GUCGGUUUUGAAACAGACAACGUAUGCGAGCAAAUUUAUUAAAGCAGUUUUCAGUUAAAGGUUAUCUCUGAUAUCUCUUCCUGACUUCCUUCUUAAGUGCCUCAUAAGUCCACCCUGUUGAAAAACCCGUGCCCUUUGCGGCUUAAUACUUAUUGAAGGAAAGACAAAUGUCUAACAAAAUGACUGGUUUAGUAAAAUGGUUCAACGCUGAGAAAGGUUUCGGCUUCAUCUCCCCAACCGACGGCAGCAAAGACGUAUUCGUUCACUUCUCUGCAAUCCAGAACGGCGGCUUCAAGACGCUGGAAGAAGGUCAGAAAGUUGAGUUCUCUAUCGAAAACGGCCAGAAAGGCCCAGCAGCUGCUAACGUAACUGCUCUGUAAUUAGAGAACUUUUCGCAGGCGAACCGGAGUUUACUCCGUGUAGAGCUAGCGAGAAUACGAAAACCCGCUUAACGGCGGGUUUGUUG